CCCCAACUCCCCCGACGCCGUUUCCUCUGCUUCUUCUCCCCGAAACCGCUCGCGCCUCUCCUUGCCCUAACCUCCUCUGCGCCGAUACCAGCCGCCUCCUCCUCUUCUCCGAGGCCGAAGCCUUUUUCCCUCUGCCCCUUUCCAGCGCCGCCGACCCGAGUAGCACCGCCGCAAACCGUGCCCUAGCCGCCGGCGACGUAUGGAGCAGCGCCGAUAGCCAGUGCCCUAGCCUCAGCCCGGGACACCCGACUCCAGCGACGCCACUUCCUUGCCUUUGCCGCCGGUGACGAGAGCCACCGCCGACCCCCUGUCGCCCUAGCCGUGGAGAUACCGAGCACUGGCCGAUCGCCUCUGCCCUAGCCACCUCGCGCCGCCACCACUGCCGACGCCGACCCUCUCCUUGCUGCCACUCUAGGUCACGGAUUGUCAAGGAUGCAAUUGUGAUCGUGAGGUGCAUUAGAACUUGCUGUGGGGUUGUGCUGUGGUUGGACAGCCACUCCUUUCGGUAUCUACUGGCUUCUGCAACGGGUGUCAACCUAGCAAUUUAUCUGUGCUGGCUGUAAACAAUCCUAAUUGGGCAACAACUUUAUGACUUCCAGCAGCGGUUGAUUUGAGGACUUUGACGCGAGACGAGUAUCUCGGAGUCAGAUUGGACCUUUCUAUUUUUU